GGCUCAACCGGGGAGGGUCAUUGGAAACUGGGAGACUUGAGUGCAGAAGAGGAGAGUGGAAUUCCAUGUGUAGCGGUGAAAUGCGUAGAUAUAUGGAGGAACACCAGUGGCGAAGGCGGCUCUCUGGUCUGUAACUGACGCUGAGGCUCGAAAGCGUGGGGAGCGAACAGGAUUAGAUACCCUGGUAGUCCACGCCGUAAACGAUGAGUGCUAAGUGUUGGAGGGUUUCCGCCCUUCAGUGCUGCAGCAAACGCAUUAAGCACUCCGCCUGGGGAGUACGACCGCAAGGUUGAAACUCAAAGGAAUUGACGGGGGCCCGCACAAGCGGUGGAGCAUGUGGUUUAAUUCGAAGCAACGCGAAGAACCUUACCAGGUCUUGACAUCCUUUGACCACUCUAGAGAUAGAGCUUCCCCUUCGGGGGCAAAGUGACAGGUGGUGCAUGGUUGUCGUCAGCUCGUGUCGUGAGAUGUUGGGUUAAGUCCCGCAACGAGCGCAACCCUUAUUGUUAGUUGCCAUCAUUUAGUUGGGCACUCUAGCGAGUCUGCCGGUGACAAACCGGAGGAAGGUGGGGAUGACGUCAAAUCAUCAUGCCCCUUAUG
rnacentral:rRNA from 1 species